GACGAACGCUGGCGGCGUGCUUAACACAUGCAAGUCGAACGGUGAUGCUCCAGCUUGCUGGCGUGGAUCAGUGGCGAACGGGUGAGUAACACGUGAGCAACCUGCCCCAGACUCUGGAAUAAGCGCUGGAAACGGCGUCUAAUACUGGAUACGAAACUGGCCCGCAUGGGCAUGGUUUGGAAAGUUUUUCGGUUUGGGAUGGGCUCGCGGCCUAUCAGCUUGUUGGUGAGGUAAUGGCUCACCAAGGCGACGACGGGUAGCCGGCCUGAGAGGGCGACCGGCCACACUGGGACUGAGACACGGCCCAGACUCCUACGGGAGGCAGCAGUGGGGAAUAUUGCACAAUGGGCGAAAGCCUGAUGCAGCGACGCCGCGUGAGGGAUGACGGCCUUCGGGUUGUAAACCUCUUUCAGCAGGGAAGAAGCGAAAGUGACGGUACCUGCAGAAGAAACACCGGCUAACUACGUG
rnacentral:rRNA from 1 species